rnacentral:lncRNA from 10 species
GCAGUUUGAUCUCAGACUGCUGUGCUAGCAAUCAGCGAGACUCCCUGGGCGUAGGACCCUCCGAGCCAGGUGUGGGAAAUAAUCUCCUGGUGCACCGUUUCCUAAGCCCGUCGGAAAAGCGCAGUAUUUGGGUGGGAGUGGCCCGAUUUUCCAGGUGCCCUCCUUUCCUUGACCAGGAAAGGGAACUCCCUGACCCCUUACGCUUCCCAAGUGAGGCAAUGCCUCGCCCUGCUUCGGCUGGCGCACGGUGCCCUGCACCCACUGUCUGGCACUCCCUAGUGAGAUGAACCCGGUACCUCAGAUGGAAAUGCAGAAAUCACCCAUCUUCUGCGUGGCUCAUGCUGGGAGCUGUAGACCAGAGCUGUUCCUAUUCAGCCAUCUUGGCUCCCGGAUCCAGUUUAACUUUUGCAGAGAGACAAGAUCUCUCUCCAUUGCCAACACUGGUCUCAAACUCCUGGCCUCAAGCAAUCAUCCAACCUCAGCCUUCUGAGUACCGGGAUUACAAGUGCGAGCCACUGUGCCCAGCUCCUGUUUCUACUUUCUUAAGUGAACCUGAGGAAUACCACAAAUGUGAGCAUGGCUGGAUCUUUUGAAUUAAAAUCCACACUGGGAAAGAAAUAGACCUUGAACAUCUUGCCAAAGGCAAACCACUUCAAUAGAACAUGGCUGGCGGCCAUAUGGACAUAUUUGAAUCCAACAAUUAAUUCAGCAAAGAAAGCUGCUUGUGGCAAGUUUUGAAUGUGCCAUUCCAGGUAGUGCUUUGAUGAUAAAUGAGGAGAAGAUUGCAAAGAAAAUGACAGCAACAUUUAUAAAAGGAUUCCUCUUAGGACUCUAGAUGCACGGAGAGUGGCCAGAUUAAUACAGACUGGCAAAAGAAGAACUUGGCAAAGUGAUUUGAUCACACACUUCUCACCCUCACAUCUCCUGACAGUUCCCCUAAUCCCUGCCCCACUUCCCCGCCAUGGGCUUCCAUCAGGAAACUCCUUGAUAUCAUCUUCGAGAAGAAAACUGAGGCAUAGAACAUUUGGGAAUGAAUCUAAGACUACACAUCUAGAAUAGCAGAGUUACAGGAAUGCAGAUGUGAUUCCUAUGGAUGAGGGUAACCUAGAGGCUAGAAGAACAAUAGGACAGAAGAAGCCUGGGUCCCUGAACAACCUUGUGGAGCAUAGACACCUACGUGGCCUGGACUGCCAGCUCACAAUGGGCCUCUCUGUGAGAGAAGGAAACUUCCCUCUUGUUUAAGCAACUGUGCUUUUGAGAAUCUCUUGGUCUAUACCCUAAUGAAUAAGGCCAUCAUAAAUGGAUAUCAAAGUAAGGAAAUUUGUGUAAAUGAUUUAAUAAAACAUUACCUCAGGUAUGAAAUAAUUCUACCUUGUGCCUUGACAACAUCAGGUAUUAUUCAUGCCCUUUUCUCUCCCUGUAAUGUCUCUUAUCCACGGGUAGAAAUUAUAUUUUCCAUCUAAGGUUUGCUCAAAUAUUAUCUACUUAAGUAGCUCUUACCAAUUUUGCCUCUCCUCCUGAGCUGACCCUAUGCCUUCUAUGCUGUUCCAGGUAAUAUUAAUCUCUUCCUUUGUACUUCUUUCACAGAACAUACUUUUUUGUCUAACAUAAUAACUAUAGGCAUAAGUGUAUAGAUUCCACUAGGGGCUUCAGAACAGAAACUAUCAUCUUAUUAAUUUUUUUCUCCCUGAUAUCUAGGGAAAUAUGUUAUAUAUAAUAGGCCCUUAGUAAUCCCAUAAAUGUUUGUGAGAUAUUCACUGACUAUAAGCCAUACUCUGUAUUUAUUUAGCUAAAACAGACGUCUUUCAUAUUUAGUUAGCAGAAAAUGCUCACAUUUACUCCUUUCCUGUUUACCAAAUGAAAGGGUAAUUGUUUUUUCACAGAUUGCACUAGAAAAGUGUCUUCUCUCUCUUUUUCAAAUAGAUUGUCUUUAAAACAUAUGACAGGAAAAGUGACUAUUGUUAGGAUAAGAUAAUUACGAUUGUAACAGCUAGUUUAAAAGAAGUGUCAGUUGCUCCUGUUUUAUUUUUCACAGGAUAGAGCUGCGGCCUGUCUCAGUAUGAUGUUUUCAGGAUCUGGUAUAUAUUUUUAUUUUCCUACAUGAAUCUUUCAUCCUUUUACUGACAUUUAUUCAUUUUAUCUAAUUAUCCUAAAAGGAAAGCUCUGGCCAGGCAAAUUGGUUGUUGUCUGCCUCUGAAGAGACAUUCAUAUCGCGUCGCUUAGCUUUCAAGUUUUGUGAUCAGGAACCCUCAGGCCCAUUUUUAAGGAGGUUUCAGGCUAGCUGAGCUUCACUGUCUCCCAAAAUGUACAAAAUGAGAUUACAUGAGGGACAAGAUCAAUUUACUGGAAGGUACUUAAGCAGUAAAUCUGGAGCUUUUUGUCCAGUCACUAUUGCUUUCAAGCUUUGUAGCAGAAAAUUAAGCCACAAGAGCUUUGACAAAUUAGAUAUUACUACCUCUAAUUGUGUAUGUUUAAGCUUAUCACACUGAAUUGCAGCAUUGUAACUGACUAUUAUGCCAACAAGGCCUUCGUUUAAUCAGCGCAGUGCCAUUUAAUCGCAAUUAAUCACUCAACUAAAAUGUCAUAUUAAGGUCACAGAAACUUGAAGGGCUAAAAGAAAAGAGAACAUUAAAGUCAGCUGAUGGAGGAAAAGAGCAUGGUGUGCCAAGGGAAGUUCUGAGCACUCUUUUUCAUUAGAAGCUGGUAGAACAUUUAAUGAGAAUUCAGUCUUAACUUUCAGCUGAGAUCAGAACAACGUGCC